rnacentral:misc_RNA from 1 species
AGGGCAAUAUUUCUAUCAAGGUAUGCAUAGUUUGGAUCUUUAUUAUGAUCACGUCCUUUGUCCUUUCUGAAUUUUGUUUCUGUUGAGACAUCCAUGGAAAUGGAUACCUUUCAUCCAUUUCGCAUUCCAUAACAUCUCAGGGCAAAUUUUACUUUCUUAAGAGGAAUUCUACCUUUAAUGCUUAUAACAUAACCUUGGACAUGCCUGUCAAUCGAGACCAGAAAACCAUAGGAAUUGCCUAUGGUUCUUCCUGCAAGGGGAACUCCUCACAGGGGAGCCUAUUCACUUGCCUGUGAAGUCUAGGGGUGGACCAGUUGAUGUUUCCUCUGAUACAUAUAUAUGUAUACAUUUCAUUUUCUUUCUUGUUUAGUAGUGAAUUCUCUGAUGGUUGUUUGCAUAUUUUAAUUCCUUAAUCUUUUCAUAAUGUACAUAUGUGUAUUUACAAUAUAUUAGAUCUAAUACUAUUGAUGGUGUAGGAUGGGGUAGUGUAUUUUUGCAUGUUCAUUGCUCAUGCUUCUGGAUGGUAAAAGGACUGUACACUGCAGGAAGGGGCAGCCUUUAAAUAGAGAAAAGAAUAUCAGUACAUUGUCAGUGGUGCAUCAUGGUUCACUAUACACAAGUUUAAAUGGGCAAUAAUUAAAAGAUAUUUAGUCUAUAUUAGUUUAUAAUUUAUAUGUUUUUACCACUUUUGGUUGCUGGUGCCAUAUUAUUCGUUGAUCAUAACUUUUUUCUUUAAUCUCAUUACAGGAGCUUAGUGACAUGACA